rnacentral:rRNA from 1 species
ACGGGAGGCAGCAGUGGGGAAUAUUGCACAAUGGGCGCAAGCCUGAUGCAGCGAUGCCGCGUGAGGGAAGAAGGUUUUCGGAUUGUAAACCUCUGUCAACAGGGACGAAAAUGACGGUACCUGUGAAGGAAGCUCCGGCUAACUACGUGCCAGCAGCCGCGGUAAUACGUAGGGAGCAAACGUUAUCCGGAAUUACUGGGUGUAAAGGGAGUGUAGGCGGGACUGUAAGUCAGAUGUGAAAUAUGCCGGCUCAACUGGCAGACUGCAUUUGAAACUGCGGUUCUUGAGUGAAGUAGAGGUAAGCGGAAUUCCUAGUGUAGCGGUGAAAUGCGUAGAUAUUAGGAGGAACAUCAGGGGCGAAGGCGGCUUACUGUGCUUUAACUGACGCUGAGGCUCGAAAGCGUGGGGAGCAAACAGGAUUAGAUACCCUGGUA